rnacentral:rRNA from 1 species
UGCAGUCGAGCGGUAGCACAGAGAGCUUGCUCUCGGGUGACGAGCGGCGGACGGGUGAGUAAUGUCUGGGAAACUGCCUGAUGGAGGGGGAUAACUACUGGAAACGGUAGCUAAUACCGCAUAACGUCGCAAGACCAAAGUGGGGGACCUUCGGGCCUCAUGCCAUCAGAUGUGCCCAGAUGGGAUUAGCUAGUAGGUGGGGUAACGGCUCACCUAGGCGACGAUCCCUAGCUGGUCUGAGAGGAUGACCAGCCACACUGGAACUGAGACACGGUCCAGACUCCUACGGGAGGCAGCAGUGGGGAAUAUUGCACAAUGGGCGCAAGCCUGAUGCAGCCAUGCCGCGUGUGUGAAGAAGGCCUUCGGGUUGUAAAGCACUUUCAGCGGGGAGGAAGGCGUUAAGGUUAAUAACCUUGUCGAUUGACGUUACCCGCAGAAGAAGCACCGGCUAACUCCGUGCCAGCAGCCGCGGUAAUACGGAGGGUGCAAGCGUUAAUCGGAAUUACUGGGCGUAAAGCGCACGCAGGCGGUCUGUCAAGUCGGAUGUGAAAUCCCCGGGCUCAACCUGGGAACUGCAUUCGAAACUGGCAGGCUAGAGUCUUGUAGAGGGGGGUAGAAUUCCAGGUGUAGCGGUGAAAUGCGUAGAGAUCUGGAGGAAUACCGGUGGCGAAGGCGGCCCCCUGGACAAAGACUGACGCUCAGGUGCGAAAGCGUGGGGAGCAAACAGGAUUAGAUACCCUGGUAGUCCACGCCGUAAACGAUGUCGAUUUGGAGGUUGUGCCCUUGAGGCGUGGCUUCCGGAGCUAACGCGUUAAAUCGACCGCCUGGGGAGUACGGCCGCAAGGUUAAAACUCAAAUGAAUUGACGGGGGCCCGCACAAGCGGUGGAGCAUGUGGUUUAAUUCGAUGCAACGCGAAGAACCUUACCUGGUCUUGACAUCCACAGAACUUAGCAGAGAUGCUUUGGUGCCUUCGGGAACUGUGAGACAGGUGCUGCAUGGCUGUCGUCAGCUCGUGUUGUGAAAUGUUGGGUUAAGUCCCGCAACGAGCGCAACCCUUAUCCUUUGUUGCCAGCGGUUAGGCCGGGAACUCAAAGGAGACUGCCAGUGAUAAACUGGAGGAAGGUGGGGAUGACGUCAAGUCAUCAUGGCCCUUACGACCAGGGCUACACACGUGCUACAAUGGCAUAUACAAAGAGAAGCGACCUCGCGAGAGCAAGCGGACCUCAUAAAGUAUGUCGUAGUCCGGAUUGGAGUCUGCAACUCGACUCCAUGAAGUCGGAAUCGCUAGUAAUCGUAGAUCAGAAUGCUACGGUGAAUACGUUCCCGGGCCUUGUACACACCGCCCGUCACACCAUGGGAGUGGGUUGCAAAAGAAGUAGGUAGCUUAACCUUCGGGAGGGCGCUACC